CGAGGCGAACCGGGGAAACUGAAACAUCUCAGUACCCCGAGGAAAAGAAAUCAACCGAGAUUCCCCCAGUAGCGGCGAGCGAACAGGGAGCAGCCCAGAGUCAACAUCAAUAUUUACCGCAGGAGAAAGAUCUGGAAAGGCCGGCAAUAAAGGGUGAUAGCCCCGUAUCUGAAGCGGUAAGUGUUGUGAACUCGAAGAGUAAGGCGGGACACGUGUUAUCCUGUCUGAAUAUGGGGGGACCAUCCUCCAAGGCUAAAUACUCCUGACUGACCGAUAGUGAACCAGUACCGUGAGGGAAAGGCGAAAAGAACCCCGGCGAGGGGAGUGAAAUAGAACCUGAAACCGUGUACGUACAAGCAGUAGGAGCACCCGAAAAGGUGUGACUGCGUACCUUUUGUAUAAUGGGUCAGCGACUUAUAUUCUGUAGCAAGGUUAACCGCAUAGGGGAGCCGUAGGGAAACCGAGUCUUAACUGGGCGUUAAGUUGCAGGGUAUAGACCCGAAACCCGGUGAUCUAGCCAUGGGCAGGUUGAAG
rnacentral:rRNA from 1 species